rnacentral:rRNA from 1 species
CCUACGGGAGGCUGCAGUAAGGAAUAUUGGACAAUGGCCGCAAGGCUGAUCCAGCCAUCCAGCGUGCAGGAAGAAGGCCCUAUGGGUUGUAAACUGCUUUUAUCAGGGAAUAAACCUCUGGAUUUACUCCGGAGCUGAAGGUACCUGAAGAAUAAGCACCGGCUAACUCCGUGCCAGCAGCCGCGGUAAUACGGAGGGUGCGAGCGUUAUCCGGAAUUACGGGGUUUAAAGGGUGCGUAGGCGGCUACGUAAGUCAGGAGUGAAAGUUUGCGGCUCAACCGUAAAAUUGCUUCUGAUACUGCAUAGCUAGAGUACGGUAGAGGGGGAUGGAAUUCCGAGUGUAGCAGUGAAAUGCGUAGAUAUGCGGAGGAACACCGAUGGCGAAGGCAAUCCCCUGGACCUGUACUGACGCUCAUGCACGAAAGCGUGGGGAGCAAACAGGAUUAGAUACCCCUGUANUC